rnacentral:lncRNA from 1 species
AGAGAACCCUUCCUCCGGGGAGGUUACAGUGAGAAGAUAGCCUACGAGGAAGUGGGCCCUCAUCAGACACUGAAACUGCUGGUGUCUUGGUCUUAGACUUCCCAGCCUCCGGAACUCUGGACCACAUUUCCCAGCUUCCCUUGCAGUUCUAUUCAAUCAUGUGACCAAGUUCUAGCCCUGGAAAGGGGCAGAAGUGAUAUGUAUGACACCUCCAGGUUGAGGCAAUUAAGGACAGAUAUUUCUUCUACAUAUUUGCUCUCUUCUCUCAUCUAGUGGAUGGAAACGCAGGACCCAAUCAAAGGCUCUAUGGCUUUGGAUAACACAGCAACUAGACAGAAGGAAACUUGGUACCUGAAUGGCUGUGUGGAGCAAUCUCUCUCACUCCCCUGCCCACCUCUAUUGGACUGUGAUACAAGAUUGGACUGUGAACAAGAAAUAAACAUUAUGAUGUUUAA